GUCUACGGCCAUACCACCAUGAACGCGCCCGGUCUCGUCCGAUCUCGGAAGCUAAGCAGGGUCGGGCCUGGUUAGUACUUGGAUGGGAGUUACAAACUCGAAAGGCCAUGUACC
rnacentral:rRNA from 1 species